rnacentral:rRNA from 1 species
CGCCCAGACUCCUACGGGAGGCAGCAGUGGGGAAUAUUGCACAAUGGGGGGAACCCUGAUGCAGCGACGCCGCGUGGGUGAAGAAGUCAUUCGUGACGUAAAGCCCUAUCAGCAGGGAAGAAAAUGACGGUACCUGACCAAGAAGCCCCGGCUAACUACGUGCCAGCAGCCGCGGUAAUACGUAGGGGGCAAGCGUUAUCCGGAUUUACUGGGUGUAAAGGGGGCGCAGACGGCGAUGCAAGCCAGGAGUGAAAGCCCGGGGCCCAACCCCGGGACUGCUCUGGAAACUGCGGCGCUGGAGUACGGGAGGGGCAGGCGGAAUUCCUGGUGUAGCGGUGAAAUGCGUAGAUAUCAGGAGGAACACCGGCGGCGAAGGCGGCCUGCUGGACUGCGACUGACGUUGAGGCCCGAAAGCGUGGGGAGCAAACAGGAUUAGAUACCCUCGUACGC